AUUGAACGCUGGCGGCAUGCCUUACACAUGCAAGUCGAACGGCAGCACGGGAGCAAUCCUGGUGGCGAGUGGCGAACGGGUGAGUAAUAUAUCGGAACGUGCCCAGUCGUGGGGGAUAACGCAGCGAAAGCUGUGCUAAUACCGCAUACGAUCUACGGAUGAAAGCGGGGGAUCGCAAGACCUCGCGCGAUUGGAGCGGCCGAUAUCAGAUUAGCUAGUUGGUGGGGUAAAGGCCCACCAAGGCGACGAUCUGUAGCUGGUCUGAGAGGACGACCAGCCACACUGGAACUGAGACACGGUCCAGACUCCUACGGGAGGCAGCAGUGGGGAAUUUUGGACAAUGGGCGCAAGCCUGAUCCAGCAAUGCCGCGUGCAGGAUGAAGGCCUUCGGGUUGUAAACUGCUUUUGUACGGAACGAAACGGUCCUUUCUAAUACAAGGGGCUAAUGACGGUACCGUAAGAAUAAGCACCGGCUAACUACGUGCCAGCCGCCGCCGUAA
rnacentral:rRNA from 1 species